rnacentral:lncRNA from 1 species
CAGGCUUAAGAGUAUUUGGAACACGCGUCCAUUAAACUGACAAGCGACUUGCCAGAUGGAGCCAACAGAAACCGCUUCUCCUGACAACUAUCUUUAGACUGUGAAGAAAUGAACAGUGGGUAACGUGGGUUAUGAAGUUAGAAUACCCAGAUCUCCAUGCUUGCAACCUCCCCACCAGUGACUUUCACAUUAGACUUGCUCCCAGGAGCAGCUUUCCAUUGGCUUCGAAAACUCCUGCAGCAUAA